AUUGAACGCUGGCGGCAGGCCUAACACAUGCAAGUCGAACGAGUGGCGGACGGGUGAGUAAUUUCUGGGAAACUGCCCGAUGGAGGGGGCUAACUACUGGAAACGGUAGCUAAUACCGCAUACCAUCGGAUUUGCCCAGGUGGGAUUAGCUAGUGGGUGGGGUAACGGCCCACCUAGGCGACGAUCCCUAGCUGGUCUGAGAGGAUGACCAGCAACACGGGAACUGAGACACGGUCCAGACUCCUACGGGAGGCAGCAGUGGGGAAUAUUGCACAAUGGGCGCAAGCCUGAUGCAGCCAUGCCGCGUGUAUGAAGAAGGCCUUCGGGUUGUAAAGUACUUUCAGCGAGGAGGCGUUACUCGCAGAAGAAGCACCGGCUAACUCCGUGCCAGCCGCCGCGGUAAUAC
rnacentral:rRNA from 1 species